rnacentral:rRNA from 1 species
UAGAUUCUUUUUUAUUGUUGAAAAAAUUAAAAACAAAUUGUUUUUUACAAUAAUUAAAAUUUAUAAUAUUUCAAUUUUUAAUUUUUAGUUUUAAAUAAAAAUUACAAAUAUGAAAAAUAAAAAAAUUUUGUUAUAAAUUAAAUUAAUUUAUUUAUAUUAAAAAUAUUUUUUAUAAUUGUUAUUUUUUUAUUUUUUUAAAAAAAAAAUAAUUUAAUUAUAAUUAUUUAUUUAAAUUUAAUAAUUAAAUAUAAAAUUUUUUAUUAAAUAAAUUUAAUAAUAAAUGUUUUUU